CACGUAGGGUGCGAGCGUUGUCCGGAAUUAUUGGGCGUAAAGAGCUCGUAGGCGGUUUGUCGCGUCGAAUGUGAAAACCCGGGGCUCAACCCCGGGCCUGCAUUCGAUACGGGCAGACUAGAGUCCGGAAGAGGAGAGCGGAAUUCCUGGUGUAGCGGUGAAAUGCGCAGAUAUCAGGAAGAACACCCGUGGCUAAGGCGGCUCUCUAGUACGGUACUGACGCUGAGACGCGAAAGCGUGGGGAGCGAACAGG
rnacentral:rRNA from 1 species